GCUUUAUAGCUCAGUUGUUUAGAGCAUGAAGCUGAUAACACCAAGGUUGCAGGUUCAAUCCCCGUAUGGGACA